rnacentral:rRNA from 1 species
CCAGCUCUCCGAGUGGUAGGGGUGAUUAUUGGGCCUAAAGCGUCCGUAGCCGGCCUGGCAAGUCUCUCGUUAAAUCCAGCAACCCAAUUGUUGGGCUGCGGGGGAUACUGUUAGGCUAGGGGGCGGAAGAGGCCGACGGUAUUCCCGGGGUAGGGGUGAAAUCCUAUAAUCCCGGGAGGACCACCAGUGGCGAAGG